rnacentral:rRNA from 1 species
AUUGAACGCUGGCGGCAGGCCUAACACAUGCAAGUCGAGCGGUAACAGAAAGAAGCUUGCUUCUUUGCUGAUGAGCGGCGGACGGGUGAGUAAUGCUUGGGAACAUGCCUUGAGGUGGGGGACAACAGUUGGAAACGACUGCUAAUACCGCAUAAUGUCUACGGACCAAAGGGGGCUUCGGCUCUCGCCUUUAGAUUGGCCCAAGUGGGAUUAGCUAGUUGGUGAGGUAAUGGCUCACCAAGGCGACGAUCCCUAGCUGGUUUGAGAGGAUGAUCAGCCACACUGGGACUGAGACACGGCCCAGACUCCUACGGGAGGCAGCAGUGGGGAAUAUUGCACAAUGGGCGCAAGCCUGAUGCAGCCAUGCCGCGUGUGUGAAGAAGGCCUUCGGGUUGUAAAGCACUUUCAGUCAGGAGGAAAGGUUAGUAGUUAAUACCUGCUAGCUGUGACGUUACUGACAGAAGAAGCACCGGCUAACUCCGUG